GAAACAGACUCAUUCUGCUGUUCCCUGGGUAAAAGGAGAGCUCCCAGGAAUGUUGGCAGAUGAUAAGCAGAAAUGCCAGAACACUAAUCCUUCAGAGCAAAUCUUCUCAUUGCUACACUUUGACUAACAUGUUGCUGUGAACAGGACCUGGAAAUGUCUUGACAGUGACCUUCCCUCCUUCUUUACUUUGGAUUGUCCCUUUCACAAAGGAUUCUUUGGGGUGCACCACAAAGACCGAUGACUUGGCAUCAAAAGGCUUGUUCUGGGCCUCGAUUCUUUCCUUCUCUGACUUUCGGAGGUAGGGAGCUGCCUCCCCAAAGGCGGCCAUCUCAGCAUCUGGAGAAGCCAUGGCUGCGCUCACACAGGAAGCACAGUCAGAAGAGUGCUCUGUAGGAAAGAAAAUAUGUUGAGUCAGUGGGUAAAGUGUUCUGUGAAAGAGAGAAAAUCUACAAAAUACAGGCAUACAAAAUCUAAAAUAUACAGAGCCUGGAGUCCAGUGGUACUAGAAGGAAACCACAGCACAGCUGGAAGAGGCAGAAUGUGAGAAAUCCAUGGAUACAGGCAGUCCUGCACAGCAGUACAGUUGAUUGACCUUACAUGGCUUGCUGCAGCCCAAGCUCCACUGAGCAUCUCACUGGAGAAGAACCAGAUCAGCUAACCAGACAGGACAUUCCAAGAGGAGUCUUUGUGCCCUUGGAUCCUUAAUGAGCAGACUGACAAUGAAUGUGUAGCCUCAUACCCCUGAGUAAAAUCGGACCUCUCAGGAAUGCUGGCAUGAGACAAGAAGAAAUGCCGGAAUACUAAUUCUCUGGUGCAAAGCUCCUCAUCCCAACAUUUCUGCUAAGAUGUGGCUGAGCAAUGGACAUUGGAGAUGCAAAUGUCACAGCGAACUGUAUCUGGGCAGUGGGUGCUGUUUGAGGAGACAUUCAGAAUGCCAUUUUCAUCAGAUGACAAAGCAGGCGAACAGCUCCAGUUACAAAGCAGCACUGUGCUGACCUCCGGGAGCUGCUGGUAUGAGAAGGUGGUGGUGUCUACUCUGCUGGAGCUGUAAGAGCACUGUCAUAAAACCCUAACAGGAAGGCUCAGAGCCUGGAGUCCAGUGGUACUAGAAGGAAACCACAGCACAGCUGGAAGAGGCAGAAUGUGAGAAAUCCAUGGAUACAGGCAGUCCUGCACAGCAGUACAGUGUGAGCAUGGUGUUGACAUUCCCCACAGUGAAGAGGGCAUCCAGACAUGCCAUCCAGACAUGAAAACAGAUUACACUCCAUUUUCUGAAAGUUCCUAUAAAAUAUUCUGAGUUGGAAAGACUACACAAGAAUGAUCAAGUCCAACUCCUGUCUGCACAUAGGACUACCUAAAAAUUAAACCAUAAUUCUGAGAGUGUUUAAAUGCCCAUCUAGUAUGGCAGCAGCAGAGGUCUAACCAUGGCCACGUAAGGUGUCUGACUGGCUCCAGAGCCUCUCGUUUGUUCGCAUGCUAUUUUCACAAGACAAAAAAUUCCUGAUGCUGCAAUGGACUUAUGCCAUGAAGGACUGGAUCUUUCCUCCAGAAGGCAUUCACUGUGGCCCUGAGUCUUUCACUACUGCAUCACAGUUCUCGGAAUACACAGUACUUUGCCUUGACAUCUCCAAUUUCUUGAAAAGCAAAGGAAAAUUCACACAGCAGAGGGGGAAAAAAAGCAAAAAACAAAACAAAAAAACAUAAACAAAUUUUGUUCUACUUUCCCUUGAAAUUAUGUUGUUCAAUCCCUUUUUCAUGCUGAAACAUCUAUAACUCUAAUUAUUUCUCAGCACCAAAAAAACUCAUGUCUGACAGACACUCAGAGGCCUUACGAAACACAAACAUGCUGCCCUACAAACACCAACUCUUGGCUAUCAUAGAAUCACAGAAUUUCUAUGUUAUGAUAUUGACUUUCCUUGUCUUGUGUUCAGAGAGCAUGAAUAGAGGAGAUAGAGGCACUCAUGAGAACUGUUGAAGUGUGACAGUGGAGCACGAUCAAGAACUCUUGAGUUUGUGGCUCAGUACAAACUACACUCUCAUCUCUGCAUCUUGGAGCAACAACAACAUCAACCUUGUAGCCUGUUUAGUUAGAAAGAAAUUCCACAUCCAAUAUCUCCAUGUAAUUACCAUGGAACCAUCUGCAGACCUUCUGUUUAAAUCCUCUGCUCCUUCUACCCUGGGCUGCUCUGAACAUGACCUCCUGGACAGUUGCACUGACAUAAGAAGUUGCCACUGACCUGGCCUCCAUUUCAAAUGGAUUGAUCUUUUCUACCUAGAGAGGAUCAAAUAAAGUCAGUCCUGGCAGACCGUAGGAGAAUCACCUAGGAAAGUUUAAGAAUGGAUCUUCUUGGGAGUCAGUAUGCGUGAUGGAAGAUUUAACCUUGGCAGCUGGUGAAUUCCAGUACCAAAAAGUACCUGAUAAUGAGUUGUCAUCUCUCUGAAGAAGCACAGCAUAACUAUCACUAUCACACAGUUCAUGCUCUCAUGAGAGCAUUGGGUACCUUUGUUAUUGUCUCUAGAUUCUGUUAGUUAAACACUCAUCCUAGAGCAGCUGCACAAUGGACUUCAUAGACAUUUAGAGGAGGUGUGCUCAAAUCAGAUGGGUAUCCAGUAAAUGGAUGCCAAAAAACAGGACACUCUGAUACAUGAAUCUUCUUCACCAAAUGGAGGAUGCUUUUAAAAAGAUAUUUAGUUGUUUCCUUUGUACUGGGAUCCACAGGCUCUCCCACGCUCUGUCAUGAAGCUUUUUGUGAUCCUGAUCAGCACCAGCUCCUUUUACUUGACUGCAAAUUUGAAGAGAACACAUUCACAUGAAAGAUUAGCAGAAGAUCUCAAGAUGGCACCAAUCUCACCCUGCCCGUUCAAUGUCAUGCCACCAGCAGUUUCACCUGGAAAGAUGCUUGGUUAAUUCUGCUCAUAUCAAAAAGGAGCUCAGUGUAGGAGAAGCAGGAAAGCCAAGAGUGCCUACGGAUAGCAGCCUGCAGCAGACCAGUUGCCGCUUUAGUUCUUCAAUCUGUUGCGUGAAGGCCUGUUUCCCUCUGGACAGCUGAGAAAUUAAACCAUCUUUUUCGUCCGCCUGGCGUGCGUAUUCACCUGGAAAACAUUUAUAGUUAAAAAACAUUUCAGCAGCCAAUCUUAAAUUAAAUUAUGCCAGUAGGGGGAAUAUAUAAUUUCGAAACUAGAGCUGAUGUGUCUAACCAGAUUCUGUUUGCAGGCGAGCUCUUUGAGCACUGAGAUCACUGAUCAUGCGCUGGUUCUGCUCAUCUUUCGUUUUGAAUUCACUUAGUUGGUCUUCCAAAGUGCGACACAUCUUCUCCAGGUUUGCCUAGUUAUCAAGCAUGCAUAAGAAAAGAGAGUGAAUACCCAGACUCUAUCUUAUUUACAGAAGGAAAACAUGGCUAGAUGAUACAGUUUACAUAUAUAUGGACAAUGUGCAUUAAUUAGGGUUUUAUAUAUUCAAUUUGAAGAAAAAACAGCUGACAAUGUUUAAGCAAGGGAAGACUGAACAUAAAUAUAGUGUUGAAAAAGUGCUAAUAAAAGUAUUUCUAUACCUUAUAAAAAAUACGGUAUAGAAAUAAAAUAAUAAAAGUAUUUCUAUACCUUAGCUUUGGAGACAGACUCCAUGUUGCUGGCCAAGUCAUCAAUCUCCAUCUUCAGCUCACUCUUCUCCUUCUCCAGCUUCUGCUUGACUCGUUGCAGGUUGUCAAUCUGCUCCCCAAGCUCCGCUGUGCUGUCCGCAUGCUUCUUCCGCAGGGCAGCAGCCGUGGCUUCGUGCUGCAGCGUGGCCUCUUCGAGGUCACGGCGCAUCUUCUGAAAUUCUGCCUCACGCUUCUUGUUCAUCUCGAUCUGAGCUGCUGUAGCCCCUCCUGCUUCCUCCAGGCGCCCACUGAUCUCCUCCAGCUCCCUGGAGAGGUCAGCUCGGUGCUUCUCUGCUUUUGCCCGAGAGGUUCGCUCUGCCUCAAUUUCCUCCUCCAGUUCUUCAAUACGGGCCUGGGGAACAGCAGGGACCCUUCACACCCAUGUCCUUCUCCUACCUCACCUCAGUCUGUGUGAUAGAGGAAAAGAUCCAGAGACUUGCCUGCAGCUCCUUGAUCUUCUUCUGUAACUGCAUGCCCAGAAGUUGUUCAUCCUCAAUUUUGCUCUGGAUCUGGCUGAUUUCAAAGUCUUUCCUUUGCACAAAGCAAAUGGUGUUAGUGCCUGAACAAAACAUCUAAGUGUACCCGUCCAGCACUCAGAUGUCCCACAACCACACUUACUUCUUCAGUUUCUCAUCCAGCUGCUGUUUAUCAUUUUCCAAGUCCAUUAUGCUAUCAUGGGCCAACUUCAGGUCUCCUUCAAGUUUCCUCUUGGCUCUCUCGAGGUCCAUGCGCAGCUUCUUCUCUUGCUCCAGGGACCCUUCCAGCUAAACCAAAGGAGAUCAUUAGUGCUCUGUCACCCAUGUUUAUCUCCACAACUGUCCUGUAAUGAUUGUAUUUUGCUUACAUCAUCCACUUGCUGUUCCAGCUUGGUUUUAGCUUUGGUCAGCGUAUUGACUUUGUCCUCUUCAGCCUGCAGGUCAUCCAGUGUCUGCUGAUGGGCCUCUUGGAGGGCUUUCUUCUCUUUUGUCAGCUUCACAAUGGUCUCAUCCAGGGCUGCCAUCUCCUCUGUGAGGUUUUUCACCUUUGACAAGAAGGGAGUAAGUGUAGAUAAAAAAUGUUGUUUACAGUUUAAUACUGUGCAACAAAAGUGAGCGACAUCUUCUUCCUCAUACCUUGUUUUCAGUGGCAUGCUUUUCCUUCUCAACUUUGGCCAAUGUUAACUCCAGGUCAUCUAUGUCUUUCUUCAGUUCUGAACAUUCAUCCUCCAGUUUUCUCUUCUUGGCUGUCAGUUCAGCAUUAAUUUCCUCCUCAUCCUCAGCCCGUUCUGUCACCUCCUUUACUUUGGCUUCCAGCUGGAUUUUGGUUUUGAUGAGCUGGUCACAUCUUUCCUCAGCAUCAGCCAAUGCAUCAGCUUCCUGAGGGGAAAAAUGCACUUUUUUCAGAUAUGUAGUUUGGGCGCAUAUUGUGAUUCUCAGCUUCAUAAAUUCAGAUUCCUUACUAGCAAUGUUUUAGUUUAAUGUUUGUUUUAUAUUUCAAGAAAUACAGUUUUUAAUUUAUUUUAAAUUGGUGCUUUUAAUACAUCUGUUUUUGAAUGCUACCAAACAAACAUGCAUACCAAACAAAAUCCUUUGUUAUCUACAUGAAGAGCUGCGUAUUAAAAUACAUAUGUAUGUGUAUAUUCAUCUUAACCCAUAAUAAUGAAUAGAGUAUGUAAAUUUGGGUUUAAUCAUAUUAAUAUCUCUUGUAAUUCCAGCAUUUACAAAGUGCUGAGUGAUAAUCGUAUGCCAAGAUAAAUACAAAUACCAAAGUGACAGUUAUGUUGAUACCAUUUUUUUAUUUCUCUUUUUUACCCUGCUGGGUUUUUAGAGCAACUGUUUCUGCUUUCGAUUUUCAUCACAUCUCAAAAAAUACUCAGCAUCCAGCAGUUUCAGCUUUUUCUCUGCAAUACUCUUGUCACCUCCGGUAGCUGCCGGAAUUGAGUCAUUUGGAAUACGCAUUUGCAGAUAACACCAAGCUGAGUGGUGCAGUCAAUACACUGGAGGGAAAGGAAGCCAUCCAGAGGGACCUGGACAGGCUGAAGAAGCGGGCCGAUAGGAACCUAAUGAGGUUCAGUAAGGCCAAGUGCAGGGUGCUGCACUCGGGUCGGGGCAAUCCCAGGUAUUUAUACAAACUGACGGAAGAUCUUGAGAACAACCCUGUGGAGAAGGACUUGGGGGGUUCUGGUAGAUGAGAAGCUGGACAUGAGCCAGCAGUGUGCGCUUGCAGCCCGGAAGGCCAACUGUGUUCUGGGCUGCAUUAAAAAGAGGUGGCCAGCAGGGAGAGGGAGGUGAUUGUGCCCCUCCACUCAGCUCUUGUGAGGCCCCAUCUGCAGUACUGCAUCCAGGCCUGGGGCCCCCACCACAGAAAGGACAUGGAGCUCUUGGAGUGGGUCCAGAGGAGGGCCACUAAGAUGAUCAGAGGGCUGGAGCAGCUCUCCUAUGAGGAAAGGUUGAGGGAACUGGGCUUGUUUAGCUUGGAGGAGAGAAAGCUGUGGGAAGACUUCACUGUGGCCUUCCAGUACUUGAAGGGAGUGGAUAAACAGGAGGGGGAAAGGUUGUUCACAAGGGUGCAUAGUGAUUGGACAAGGGGGAAUGGUUUUAAACUAAGACAGGAGAGGUUUAGGUUAGAUAUUAGGAGGAAGUUUUUCACUCUGAGGGUGGUAAUUCACUGGAACAGGUUGGCCAAGGAGGUUGUGGAUGCCCCAUCCCUGGAGGCAUUCAAGGCCAGGCUGGACGUGGCUCUGGACAGCCUGGUCUGGUGGUUGGCAACCCUACACAUAGCAGGGGGGUUGAAACUCAAUGAUUGUUAUGGUCCUUUUCAACCCAGGCCGUUCUAUGAUUCUGUUAUUCUAUGCCUCUAGGCUUGUAUUUAUUUAUUAUUUAUUUGCAGCAGAUAUCCUGUGGUAUUUACUUUUAUCUCAUCUUCCAGUCUAGUAGGAAUUUUAUGGGAAAAAAAAAAGUGAUAAUUUCAGCAGUGAAUGAUUUUUAGGUCUUUUUACAGUUCAAGAUGUUUUCAAAAGGAGACCAUUUAAGCUUUCCUAGGUGUCACUUAAACUGCACAGUGCUGCAAUGAUGAUAUAGUCUCUUCUAUUCGAUUAAUGCUUUAAUUUAGAAAUCACAGGAUUAAAACCUCAUAAAUGUACCGUGUAAUUUUAUCUAGUGAUUCUGACUACUUUUAGAGGAUAAGUGAGAUGAAUAUAUUGUUUAUUCUUAGCUCAGCAUUAUAUCAUGGUAAUCUGUAACAGGUAGAACACCACCUACAUUUGAAAGGAAGAAAUUAUCUUGUUUAAUUGGGAUAUAGAAAGAAGAAAUGCCCUCUUUAUAUUCCCUAAAGUCAUAUAUUUAUAAGGACAGACAUUCUCUGUUUUGGAGAGGUAGGAAAACAUAAACAGAAGAACAAAAAUGUACUACUAAAAGUAAAAUUUCUUAAUUGCUCUGAUGCAAUUAAACUGAAUGUAAGUGAUAAUAGUCUCUGCCAACACAACAGAACUGGUGACCAGCAGUAGUCCCUAAUGAAGCAGCAUGAAGCUACAUCAAGAGAUUGGAUAUUAUGAAAAGGUUCUUCACCACUAGGGUGGUUGGGCCGUGGAGCAGGCUCCCCAGGAAAGUGGUCAUGGCACCGAACCUGUCAGUAUUCAAGAAUUGUUUAGUCAAUGCUCUCAGAAAUUUGGUUUGAAUUUGAGGAGAUCCUAUGCUGAGCUGGGAGUUGGACCCAAUCGUUCUUGGGUUCUUUCCUACUCAGGAUAUGCUGUCGUUCUAUGAUUUUGUGAAAUGUCUCACCCAUGGUAUCCAUGUGGUCAUGAAGUGCCAUGACUGCAGCCUUCUGACAGUUCUUACUUUAGCUAGUUAUAUUUUUCACUGCAGCACUUAAUGAAGUACAACUUAAUUCAAUUAUAUUGUACUUCCUAUGUGUCUUUUGAAAAUGUAGUCAGCCUAGGUAGAAUCAGUCACACUGGUAGUACUCACAGCCUGCACUUGGAGCUGCAGAUCAUUUUUCUCCUGCACCAGCUUCACCAUUUUCUCCUCCAGCUCCUUCCUCUUUGCCUCAGACUUUGCAAGCUCUUCCUUGGUCUUCUCAAACUCUUGUUUCAUGUUGGCCAUCUCCUUCUCAGACUCUGCGCUCUUCAGCAGCGGCUUGAUCUUAAAGAACAGCUUCAUCCAGGGCCAGUGCUUGACAUUCAUGAAUGCACGAAUGUUGUACUGGAUGCAGAAGACAGACUCUCUAAAAGGUAAGUCAAAUAAAUAUUGGCAAUUUAGACUCGGAUGACACAAUAUACCAAACCCAGUAAACCUAAUUUAAAUAAAUGUCUACCUCCUCUCCACCAUUUUCUGGUAUUCCACUCUCAUCAGGAAGCCUCUGCACCUGGCCUGUGUGCGAGUGAUGAGCUGUGCCAGCUUCUCAUCCCUCAUCUCCUCCAAAAGGCCAACCAGCCCAGCUUUGAAGAACACCUUAGGUCAUAAAACAAAAAUAAGUACAGUGUAUGUGCUCUUUGGUCACUGUAGCCAAGUAACCAGUUCCUCCAUGGCAGAUAACACAGGAAGUUAAGAGAAAGAGCAAAAACACAAAGAAUAUGUGUAGUUACCAUGUGUAGUUCCUCUUUAAUAUCUUCAGUCAUGCUGGCCUGGCUAUUACAGUCAUAUUACAGUACAUGAAAAACUAUAAAAGCCAGACCUUAUUCACUGUUUUUAUUAAAUCUUGAUUCUUCUAUUCUAAAACUUCAUCUUCAAUUAGGAACUCUUAAUUAGAAUCAUCCUCCAUCAAUGAAUUUCAAAGUAUUGAGUCAAUAAGUAUCUAGUUUAUGUAUUUUAAACUCACUGUUUGAUGAUUUCACAUGCUACUUGAAGAAUCUCAGUAUCAUCCUCAAGCUUUACAAAACAAAAAAUACAUAGUACUUGAAACAAACACUUCUGAUACCUUGGUGUGACCAAAUUUAUACUGAGUGUGGUCUAUAUCAAUUGAUCCAAGCAGUUUCUCACAAGCCUUCUUGCUGUCAAUGAACUGUCCCUCUGGAAUAGCGCUUGCAUUUAGUACUUUGUAUCUGGGGGACAAAAUGGUAAUAUAAACAGGUCUGUUGUUGCCAUCAGUUACUUAGUAUGCUGCAAGAAAGAGAACAUAACUCCACUGCUAAAUGUAAAUGUUAAGAGAAUGUUUUUGUCACCAGAGGAGAAGUUUAAAUUUCAUAAGCUACUCAAGAUGGCCAAAAUCCAGGAAUGGAAUGCAGUCUGACCUCUGUUUAAAAUCUGCAUACAGGACUCUGUUGGGAAAUCCUUUCCUGCAAAUUCUGAUCCCUUCCAGCACACCAUUACACCUCAGUUGGUGCAGAACCAGCUCAUGCUCCAUGGCACCUAGCAAUUCAGAGUAUAAAUGAGUGCUGUAUUCUGUAGCGCAGCAGAGAAGAGAUACUGAAGGUUGUCUGUGGGUGAGUCUCUUACCAGGUGUUUUUGUUUCAUUUGGGAUGAUACAGCGUACAAAAUGGGGGUGGGUGCUCCUCAGAUUGGUCAUCAGCUUGUUUAAGUUCUCCUGGGAGAGUCAUCAACAAAAGUUUAUAUUAGCAAAUAUAAUCUCCAUUGUAAGCUUCAAGCCCUCUGUAAUGAGAUAACGUUAUCAGACAAACAUUGGCUUGCAGAAUCCUGAACUGAAGCCACCUGCACCAGUUUUUCUGAGUUUCCACAUAUGAUUGUUCAUUUAAUGUGGAAAAUUUGUCUGUUCUGUCUGUAGGAGAUAUUGUACUCUCAAACAUAUAAUUUUAUGACAUUUCUCUGAUGCUAGUGGAAUGCCUUCAAUAGAAAUGAUAUCCAUCUUCCAUUAUAUGUACCAGGAGAGAUAUACAGAUAGCUCUGUGAGCCAGUUUGAAGCAUACUAUAGUUUGCAUUUAAAGUGGAUCACACUACAUAGAACAAAAAUAACAAGCUGAAUAUUGUAUGUCUAGGUUGCAUGUUGCUUGUAAGGUGAGAUGAGAAUGAGGUGAGAUUAAUCCCAUUGUUGGUUUGUAACUAAUCUCUGAGUAAGUUUUUAUAAAUUAUUAUUGCCUAUAAUUAGUGGAGGGAGGCAGGUACCUCCAGGGGAUAUUUCCAAAAAAACAGUCUCAACAUCUUUCUGUAAAGGAACUAUUUUAUAUUAAGAAGGGAACACUAAAUGAAGGAUGAAUAUCAUAAUAAAUAGCCUUGAAGAGAGUUUAGAUAUGUAUGCUGCUGACAGGCAGCAAGACUUGGUUAUGAGAAAAAAAACUAUCAAAUAUACAUCUUAAAAAUCUACAUCCCACGGUGUGAUGGUAUUUCAAUCAUAAGAGGCUGAUCCAUUAAUCAUGAAAAAAAUAUUAGAUAUAUUAAUGAAGGAAACCAGAAGGCAGAAAGAAUGCUGUUAGAGGGCAACAAAAGUUUCUGAAGGCAGAGGGCACUUGAAGGAAAUAUGCAAAUUUUAGAUGUAUCUUAGAAGUCUCCUGUAUAAUGUUGUUCCAUCUGAAGACACUGUCUUGUGACAAGUGAACAAAAAUCAUGCAUUGAUUGGAAGAGCAGAAGUAAAUAAACAGUGUGUUUACUAUCAAAGCACAGCCCAAGAACUUCGGGGCUUCUUUUUUAUCACAACUAGUUGGGGGGAAGAGGAGGAGGGGAAAAGCUAUUUUAAGUAAUGAAUUUCCUCCUCAUCUUAGGAAAAAAUAUUGAACUCUGUAUUGUACCCGGAAAAGAGCUGAGACAGUCUGGAAAGAAGAACCUUUCUUCUUGCCACCUUUCUUGCCAGCACCAGCACUAGCCUCUGCAAAAUGAAAAAAAUAAAUAUAAGACAUUUCAUAUUUUUGUUUUUGCCUUUUAUGAUACUUUUUCUACUUUGUAAAUUGGUGAAAAUACGAGUUUCAAAGACCUGACCUGCUUCUGCUCCACCAUAGUUGGCAAACAGUAAGGCCAAAGUUUUCAGUGAAGAUUUCUGGUACAGCCCAAUGACAGUUUCAUUCAGGGGGUCCUUGUUCUUCUCAAGCCAGCCAGUGAUAUUGUAGUCCACUGUGCCAGCAUAGUGUAUUAGGGAGAAGUGGGCCUCAACCUUUCCUUUGGUAGGCUUGGGCUUCUGGAAGUUGCUGGACUUGCCCAGAUGCUGGUCAUAGAGCUUGUUCUUGAAAGAGGUGUCGGUUGCCUUGGGGAACAUGCACUCCUCUUCCAGGAUGGAGAAGAUGCCCAUGGGCUGGGAGAAAUAUACAGGAGAGGCAAUCAGCAAUUCAGUUUUCAGGGCAUUUGUGGUUCCCAGUGACUUGGCAAGGUGGAACACACACAAAUUAAAAUACAGAAAAUUCCAUUUAAACAAGAAAAUACUUUUUUACUGUGAGGAUGGUCAAGAGUUGAAACAGAUUAUCAUUAUCCAAGUUUAUCAUUUCAGAUAUUCAAAACAGAGCUUUGUGGUCCUCAGAAACCUGUUCUAGCUGAACCUUAUUUGACCAAGGGGGUUAGAUUAAGUGACCUCAUAGAUCCUCUGCACUCUGAAAUUCUGUGAUUCUAAUUUCUUAUCAUCUUGUCAGUCACUGAACACUACAUCCUGUAUAUAAUGUGAAUGCUUUCUUAUUCUAAGUCAAAGGAUGUACAUGUAAGUGCAACUGUUUGCUAUCAAUUAUACAUUUCCAUCUGCUGAGUUUAUUUUACAAAGAUACAGCUGUAUUGCUGUAGGAGCACAAGUCUGUUGGAGCUGAGAGGUGAAGUGGAAAUUCAACUGGAAACUUAUUCUAGCAGUUUUGAGAAAACAUUUUGAUUGAGAAUUUAACAACCUUUUAGCACUUCAGAAGAGAUCAGUACAAACCUGCUGCCAUAAAGGCUGUGUGACACAGCCUUAAUGUCUCACUUGACAGAUAAAAUAAACUGAACAGCAAUAUAUUUUUGAAUAAUGAGAUCUAAAUAUUUGCUUAUGAACAUGGAAGAUUCCUUUGAAAACUGAGAUCUAGUAAUUAUAAAGUUCCUAUGCUCAUACCUUCUCAAUGAGCUCAAUGCAGGCAGCCAGGUCCAUCCCAAAGUCAAUGAAUGUCCAUUCAAUGCCUUCCUUUUUGUACUCCUCUUGCUCCAGCACAAACAUGUGGUGGUUGAAAAACUGUUGCAGUUUCUCAUUGGUGAAGUUGAUGCACAGCUGCUCGAAGCUGUUGAACUGGAAAUAAAAUGAUAAAGAUUCAUAUUUGCAAGAUGCAGUAGUAACUGCAAAACCUCAUUCUUUAAAAAUACAGAAAGCAGCUAUAUUGGUUUCAUUGUGCCUGUGCAUUUCUUCAUUCAGCUUUAAGUCUAUGUAGCAAAA
rnacentral:lncRNA from 1 species